AUUGAACGCUGGCGGCAUGCCUUACACAUGCAAGUCGAACGGCAGCACGGGGCAACCUGGUGGCGAGUGGCGAACGGGUGAGUAAUGCAUCGGAACGUACCUUUCAGUGGGGGAUAACGUAGCGAAAGUUAUGCUAAUACCGCAUAUUCUGUGAGCAGGAAAGCAGGGGAUCGCAAGACCUUGCGCUGAUUGAGCGGCCGAUGUCAGAUUAGCUAGUUGGUGAGGUAAAGGCUCACCAAGGCGACGAUCUGUAGCGGGUCUGAGAGGAUGAUCCGCCACACUGGAACUGAGACACGGUCCAGACUCCUACGGGAGGCAGCAGUGGGGAAUUUUGGACAAUGGGGGCAACCCUGAUCCAGCCAUGCCGCGUGAGUGAAGAAGGCCUUCGGGUUGUAAAGCUCUUUCGGCCGGGAAGAAAUCGCACGGGCUAAUACCCUGUGUGGAUGACGGUACCGGAAUAAGAAGCGCCGGCUAACUACGUGCCAGCAGCCGCGGUAAGAC
rnacentral:rRNA from 1 species